AUAUUUAGAUACAGAUAUAUGAUAUCUAUUAUUUUCUAUCUAUAUAGAGUGUAAGCAUAUCUAUCUUUAGAUCUAUAUCUAUCUAUCUAUCAUCUAUCUAUAUGUAUAUAUGUAUGUAUGUAUGUAUCUAUCUAUCUAUCUAUCUACCUACCUACCUACCUAUCAUCUAUUUUACUGGUUUUGUUUUUCUGGAGAAACUUUGCUAGUGAAGUACAUCCUUAGGCAAUUCAUCUUUGUAUAAACAUCAUACUGUGUACUUAUACAAUCAAGGAUGGUAUAGCCUACUACAUACUUAAAGUAUAUGGUAUAGCCUAUCGCUUCUAGGCUACAAACCAGUACAUCGUGUACUAAAUAUGGUAAGCAAUUGUAAUACAAUGGCAAGUACUGGUUUAUCUAAACAUAGAAAAGUUGGUGGAGUAUAAAGUAUUAAAAAUGAUACACUUUUAUAGGGAGCUUACCAUGAAUGGAGCUUACAGGACUGUGAGUUUCUCUGGGUGAGACAGUGAGUGAGUGGUAAGUAAAUGUGAAGGCCUAGAACAUUACUACAUACUAGUGUAGACUUUAUAAAUACUAUACACUUAGGUUACAUACAAUUUAUAUUUUUCUCCAAUAAAAAAUUAGCCUUAGCUUCCUGUAACUUUUUACUUUAUCAACACCCAGCUUAAAACUCAAACACAAUAUGCAAGUGUACAAAAUUAUUUCCUUUCUUUAUAUUUUUCUUCCAUAUGCUGUUUUCUGUUUUUAGAUCUUAAUUUCAUUUAUUUGAAAACUUUUUGAUAAAACCUAAGGCAGAAACACACACUAGCCUAGGCCUACACAGGUCAGCAUUGUCAAUAUCAGCAUCUUCCACCUCCACAUCUUGCCCAACUGGGAGGUCUUCAUGGGAAAUAACAUGCAUAGAGCUGUCAUCUCCUGUGAUAACAAUGCCUUCUCUAGACACCUCCUGAAGGAACUGCCUGAAGAUGUUUCACAGUUAACUUUUUUUUAAAGUAGAAGUAAACUUUAAAACAAUAAUAGAAGUACAAUAUAGUGAAUACAAAACCAGUAACAUAGUCGUUUAUUACAAUUAUCAAGUAUUAUGUAUUGUGCAUCAUUGUUUCUGCUAUGAUUUUAUACAACUGGUCACACAGUGGAUUUCUCCACACCAGCAUGUCCCCAAAUAUGUGAGUAAUGCUUUAUGCGUAAUGUUUUAUGCUAUCUUACCACAGUCAGGAUGUCACUAGGCAAUAGAGUUUUUUACCUUCAUUGUAAUUUCAUAGUGCCAUCCUUGUAUAUGUGGUUCAUCUUUGAUGUUUGGCAUCGUCAUAGCACACGACCAUAGAUGGCAACACUACUUCCAAAUCAUACUGUGGAUUCUCCCACUUUUCCCCGCUGCCUCAUUGUGUUAGCAGUUUUCCUAUGCUGUUUCACCUGGAUCACAGCAAUAGCCACCUAGCCAGUUUAUUUACUUCCUUUCUUGAUCUCCUAUACUAUACGAUUUUUCUCUGCCAUAGCCUGGUUUAUCAUUUAUAACUUUUUCACUUACUUAUUUUUUUAUUUUUUUUGAGACAGAGUCUCACUCUAUCACCCAGGCGGGAAUGCAGUGGCAUGAUCUUGGCUCACUCCAACCUCUGACUAAAGGGGCAUACUAUUACACCUGAUUAAUUUUUUGUAUUUCUUUUCAGUAGAGAUGGGGUUUCACCAUGUUAACCAAGAUGGUCUCGAUCUCCUGACCUUGUGAUCCGCCUGUCUUGGCCUCUCAAAGUGUUGGGAUUACAGGCUGAGCCACCAUGCCUGGCCCACUUUCAGAGGCUUCCCAAUGGAAUGUAAACUCUACCUCCUUGCCACGGUCUGCCCCUGGCUACUGCCCCCACUUCAUUCCACAGCAUCCUUGAGCUGGCCACCAAACUCAUCCACGGUGUCUUUUGUUAUGUGUGGACUUUUGCACUUCUGCCAGAGGGGCUUCACGCUAGGAGGUAUUUCCAGCCAGAGACACUCUUUCCUAUGACAUUCAUGCCACAGAUUGCUUCUUAUCAUUUAGAUCUCAGAAACAACUUUCCAGAUGAUCUCAACCAGCUGUCCUGAUUCUCUUGUUCACUCCACAGUAUUCCCUGAUCAGCAUACAUCACUAUUUCCUAGUUUUCAAGUGACUGAAGAAUUUGUUGGUGUGUUAAUUGAUUUGCUUCCUCUCUGUCUGGCUCAUGAGGCUGUAUAUUCCCUGAGAGAAGAAAGCAAUUAUUCAGUACUAUUUCUCCAGUACCUGGUAUUGAGGAGUGUCUAAUAUAGAGGAAUCAUCCCAAAGUAUUUGUUGAAAUAAGCAAUGUGAGACAUUUCUUUGAAUAAUGUACAUCAAAUGAAUUCAGUACAAACGCACAAUUUAUAUGUCAAAUCUACCUUACUUCUUUACUCAUUAGUAUACUACAAUUAAAAUACAUGUGAAUGCAAAGAAUUCAAUUAUGUAACAAUACUGCAUUGUGUGAUGGUUUUCAAUGCUUUAUGAUCUUUUUUGUCAGCAUGGAUGGCUAUAACACAUUACCAUAAGCUGGGUCGCUGAUACACAACAAAAAGUUGAUUUCUCACAGUUCUGGAGGCUGGAAAGUCUCAGGUCAAGGCAGCAGCAAGCAGGUUUACUGUCUGGAUUUUGAGAUUAGUGGUGACUGAAGAAACUCCUGAUUUCCUCCUUGAGAGCCCUGGACUGACCAUAGACAAUCUUCUCUUCUAAUAUCUCAGUAGAAUCAUGGCUUUCAAAGUUACAGGGUCACAAAGUGCCUUGAAAUAAAUUUCAAAGGGAACAGCAAAUUCUGGAAUCACACCCAAACUCUUUAUGUUCAUGACUGUAACAGAGUUAAUAAAUUGUGGGUGUAAAUGAAUAACUGCAGUGUCCUGCUUGGAAACCCAGUGGUGAGUAUGUUCAUCAGAUAAAAAUGACCAGGUGUUGACAGGCAAUAGAAAGGAAUUAUGAGCAGCAGGGGUUUAGUAUCGAUACCUCAGGAAUUUAACGUAUGUGUCAGAAACAAGGCUAGGGCCCUGGGAGAGGGAGGCGGGGAGAUGGAUGUACUUUGCAGACUAUUACUGCGAAGCUUGGUAUAAAGAGAGACAGGAGACUGAGCUUAUUAUCAUAUUCAUGAGCUUGUCAACAAUAAUUGGCAAAAGCCUUGUUAAAAUAGAAACUGUAAGAGUCUUGACUGUUCAUUUUCUGGGAUUAGCUCCUAUGCAAAGCCCGAGGGAGCCCAACCAUCCCCUACUUCACAUAAAGAUGAUUUAUUUUCUUUCUUGUCUUUUUUUCUUCCUCUCGUCAGUAUUGAGAAAGAACAAAUAAUUUGAAUGGGAGACUUAGCAUAUUUUGGGUCCAAGACAGAGACUCUGUAGUCUCAGUUCUCUUCCACACAUAAGGGGACUACUGAUAUUUCAAUUUCAUGAAGGCGGGUGAAGUGAAGUCUCUAACACAUGUUAGGACCUGGUUCUCUUAAAAGGGAGACAUUUUCUUCCCUCUGUUCUAAACUCCCAAAGUCUUAGCAUUUUCUACUUUGUGUUAUACUUAUGUUAUUUUACCUACAUGUUCCCUCCUCUGGUCACCUCUAACCACCUUUAACAGAACUCUGUAUGCUAAUUUCUUAUCUCAUCCACUAGUAUUUUGUGUAUUGUACAGUAUCAGUAAAUAUUCCUCUUUUACUAUAUUUUUAUCCCCAUGGUAAGUAAUUCCAAAGUAUGCUUUUUUAGUUUCCUCAUUUAUUACUUUUAUUAGGCUGAAAAGGCUUUUUUAUGUCUAGCUUACUGUAUAUUCAUUUGCUAAAAUCUAUAUUUAUUUUAAUUGAGUUAAUUCUCUAAGGCAGUGAAGAAAUCUUCUCUGAUUUCUGUCACAUAUCUGAGUUUCAUGUAUUGGCAUUUACAAAGUUGCCUUUAUUGUUAGCACACUGUAAAAUCUAUUGUAGGUAAAGUUUAACUACUUAAGGCAACUUGGAAUUGUGUUCAUAUAUCAUACCUCUAAUUGCUUCAUUAAGUAACUAUUGAUUUGGAAUUAGGUACCAUUUCCUGCUUUACUAUAGUGUCCUUUGACCCAAAGAAAGAUUAUUAGUCACCUACGCCACAUCUUUCACUUACUGCUAAAAUUUUUGCCAAUGUUUUGCCAAAUUAUAAUCUUUAAUCUUGAACAUAACACUUCCAGGGACUGGAAGUCGAAAUCAUCCUGUUCUAACUCUGGGGAUCUUUUCUGAUGUAAAGUGCUUUCCGAACGAAAACCAAUAUGUAUUUAACUUUUCUUCAAUGGUCUUUGUCACAGACAUUGAAGGAAAAAUAAGGAAAUAACUGUAUGAUAGUCAAAACUGUUUUAAAGUAGUUCCCAAGUUUUCCUCAUUUAAUGUAGUUUGGAGACUAUUUGCUGAUGUAAACACUGCCUGCUAACUGGGUUUGCUGGUGCUGCUGAGAGUAGCCUGCAAUGAGGUGAAGUAGUGCCAGGAGUGGGACAGGGUAUGUUUUGUUCUGAAGUUACGGUCUCUGUGAAGCUGACAUUCACAGUAGGACUGUUUUAAAUUGCACGACUCUGUUGAAUAAUAUUGAGCUUACAACUGAAAACCUUGUGUGUUUGUUUUUAAUCUAUGCAUUUAUUCAUUCCUUGAAAUAUGGGAUCCUCUGUAAAAAUGCUGGUGAAUUAGGUCAACAUAGAUUUUGCUCUCACUGAUCUUAACAUCUAGAAGGCAAAAAAGUCAAUUAACUCAACGGCAUGUAGCCGCACAAAACAUAAUAUAAUAGGAGCUGCAUGGGGACCAGGAGCUACAGAGAAGGAGUGCAUAUCCUAGGGAAAGGCCAGUUAUGCUGACUCAGAGGAUUGGGGAAAACCUGGAAUCUUGAUUCCUGGAAAUGGUGGUCUCCUGCAGAGGGUGGUGGUAGAACAGGGAGGGGUGGGAUCAGGACAUACAUAUGUGGAAGGCAGAUUUAGCAGGAUUUGGUGAUUGUUCAUAUGUGGAGGAGUAAAGCAAGAUGAUGUCAUAUUUGUGGGCUGGGGACCUGGCUAGACAGCGAGGCUAUUCAUGGACCUGGGUAGACAGUGAGGCUAUUCAGGGAAAGAGAGGAGAGAGACAGGGUUGGGAGAGCAGAGAGGCAGGCAGCAUUGGGUAGUACCUGAGAUCGCACAUGAACUGGGAGAUUGACAAUAGAAGAGGCCUCAAACACAGACACAAUCAAAAUGGAAAGGAUGAUCCCAAGGUCAACAUUCAAUGAUUCUGACACAUGGGCUAGAAAUGCAGAAGAAAAAUCUGGUGUCAGGGAACUCAGGGGCGAGGAGUUUUAUACAGAAUGAGAGUCAACUGUGUCAGAAAGCACACAGAAUUUACAGACACCAAAGUCUUAUAAAAUUAAUUUCAUUCAGUAAUAAGAAAGCUAUUUAUGACUUUUAAAAAAAAGUUAUUUUGGUGAAAUGGUGGAGGCAGAAUGUACUAUGUUCAAAGGUCAGGAGAAAGUAAAGAAGACAAGAAAGUGACUUUGACAACAAAGUUCAGAGAUCAGAUCGGAGGGUGUAGCAACACUUGUGUGGGGAAGGGUAUUUUUAAGAUGAAUGAAUUGGGAUAUGUUUCCAUACUGAUUAAAGGGGCCUGGCACCAUAGAAGACACUAACAGCCUGCGAGAGAAGAGGAAGUCAGUUGAAUUCUCCCAAGGGAAACGUUCUCCAUAAAGCUUCUUCUUUCAAAAAACAAUUAAACAGCUUUAUUAAAGGAUAAUUUGCACAUCAUAAAAUUACCUUACUGUAAGUGUGCAAUUUAGUUAUUAUAGUCAUUUAUAGACCUGUGCAACUGCCUCUGAAAUCCAGUUUCAGAACAUUUCUGUAAUCUCCAGAUGUUUUCUCAUGCAGGCUUGCAGUUCUUCCUUGCUCCCAUCCCCAGUAACCACCAGUCUGCUUUUUGUCUUAACAAACGUGGCGGCUGGGUGCGGUGGCUCAAGCCUGUAAUCCCAGCACUUUGGGAGGCCGAGGCGGGUGGAUCACGAGGUCAACAGAUCGAGACCAUCUUGGUCAACAUGGUGAGACCCCGUCUCUACUGAAAAUACAAAAAAUUAGCUGGGCAUGGUGGCACGUGCCUGUAAUCCCAGCUACUCGGGAGGCUGAGGCAGGAGAAUUGCCUGAACCCAGGAGGCGGAGGUUGCGGUGAGCCGAGAUUGCGCCAUUGUACUCCAGCCUGGGUCGCAAGAGCGAAACUCCGUCUCAAAAAAAAAAAAAAAAAAAAAAAAAAAAAAAAAAGUGGCUAUGCUAGGCUAUUUCUAUAAAUGGAAUUAUAUAAUGCGCAUCGUCUGUGUCUGUGUUCUCUCACUUAGCAUAAUGUUUGUAGACUGAUUUGUGUUCUAGUAUGCGCCCUUUUAUUUAUUGAAUAGUUUUCAAUUUAGUGGACAUAGUACACUUAUAUUUAUCUCUUCAACUGUGGAUAGAUAUUUGGAUUGUUUGCCGUUUUAAGGUACGAAGAAUAAUGAUGUCGUGAACACACAUAUGCAGAUUUUCGAACAGACAUGUUUUCAUUUCCCUUGGAUACAUUCCUGGGAGUAUAACUGAUGGUUACAUGAUAAAUUUAUGUUUUAAGAAAAUGCCAACCUGUUUUCAGAGUGGUUGUGUCAUUUUAUAUUCCCAUCACCACUGUGUAAGUGUUCUUAGUCCUCCGUAUUUUGUCAACAGUUGGUACUGUCAGUCUUUUAAAAUUAUAGCCAUCUGGCUGGGCGCGGUGGCUCAAGCCUGUAAUCCCAGCACUAUGGGAGGCCGAGGCAGGUGGAAUCAUGAGGUCAAGAGAUCGAGACCAUCCUGGUCAACAUGGCGAAUCCCCGUCUCUAUAAAAAAUUAGCUGGGCUUAGUGGCACGUGCCUGUAAUCCCAGCUACUCAGGAGGCUGAGGUGGGAGAAUUGCUUGAACCCAGGAGGGGGAGGUUUCGGUGAGCCAAGAUCGCGCCAUUGCACUCCAGCCUGGGUAACAAGAGCGAAACUGAGUCUCAAAAAAAAAAAAAAAAAAAAAAAAAAUUAUAGCAAUUUUAGUGGCUGUUCAAUGUUAUUACACCUUGUUUCAAUUUUCACUUUUCCUAAUGACUAAUAAUGUUAAGCAUCUAUAUGCUUAUUUACCAUUCCUAUAUUUUCCAUGAUGAAAUUUCUAUUCAAGUUUUGUGUUCCUUUGUAAUUGAGGUGUUUGUUUUGUUACUGAAAAAUCUGAGUUACCUGCAAUCCCUUUGUUCAAUAUAAUUUAAUUUUGCAGAUGUUUUCUUCCAGUUUGUGACUAGUAUUUUCAUUUUCUUAAUGAUGUCUUUUGAAGCACAAAGUUGUAAGCUUUUUGCUAAAGUUCAAUUUGUCCAUUUGUUGCUUUCUAGGGAUAAUAUGUUUGGUGUUCUAUUUAAAAACUUUGUGCCUAAACCAAAGUAAUGAAGAUUUUCCUCCUGUUUUCUUCUAAAAGUUUUAUAAUUUUAACACUUAAAUUUAUUUUAAUAAUGAAUGCUGAAUUAAUUCUUGUAUAUAAUGUGAGGUAGACAUUAACGUUUAUUGUUUUUAUCUGGAUAUUCAAUUGUUCUCACACUAUUUGUUUGGAAACACACACACACACACACACACACACACACUAUUAUUUACCCAUUAAAUUUCCUUGGAAUCUUUGCCAAAAGCCAAAUGACCAUAAA